rnacentral:rRNA from 1 species
AAAGUCCUUCGGGAUGAGUAGAGCGGCGCACGGGUGAGUAAUACAUAGGAACGUACCUUCUAGUGGGGAAUAACCACGGGAAACUGUGGCUAAUACCGCAUAAUGACGUGAGUCGAAAGCCGGCCUCUAUUUAUAAGCUGGCGCUAGUAGAGCGGCCUAUGUCCCAUUAGCUAGUUGGUAGGGUAAUGGCCUACCAAGGCUACGAUGGGUAACUGGUCUGAGAGGAUGAUCAGUCACACUGGGACUGAGACACGGCCCAGACUCC